rnacentral:lncRNA from 1 species
AUUUGGUUACCAUUUUUAUUUCUGCAACUUUGGACAUGGCAGGAAGUUGGCCGGAGAAGACGAUGGCGCUGGCCACCGUUUGGUCUCCAGAUUCAAUCAGAUCCGUCCAUUGCUUUUUCCAGAUUCAAUCACACAAGUCCAUUGUUAUGACUUAUUUAAAGGCUCGGUGUGUUUCAGUUGACCAAGGUGUAUGGUGAACGCGCGCUUCUAGGCCGUGUGGUGAUCCACAUCAAUUAAUGAAUCUUCAUCCAAUGGCUCGCGCUUUUUC